GUAAUAUGGCCUUUCCUCUAGGGAUACAUAAGAACUGCAGGGUCAUUUUGGAGUCUAGAUUCACUUAGUCGGGAAGCUAUGGCAAUGAAAUAAGAGAACAAUAGAAAGAUAGUAGACCUAGGGUAAUGGUGGUGGAACUGUCAAUCAAUAUUCCUGAGCAGAAGGAGGAAGGAAGGAUUGCAGGAUUCUCACCUAUGCUCUGCCCAGCUCUCCUUUCCGCUUUCUCCCAGUUGCAAGAACUCUCUGGAGAUGCUCCACUAGACAGGAAGUGGAGCGAUAACUGCGGAGAGGACUCUCAGAGAGGACACUGGGAUGCGGCUUCCACAGGCUGUGUGUGCUCUCAUACGGGAAGCGAAUCUCAUAAACAGCACAUCGUCGGCUCCUCUUGAAAUCCAGGCAGCCAGUCUGUGUUUUUUUUUAAUUGAAUUUAAUCCAUUUACAUUCGAGGUAAUUAUUCAAAGAUUAUGCUUUGGACAUGGUAUUUAAGGAUGCGCCUACCUGUCAAACCAAAGUAUUUUCUCUGUGAGUUUUAUAACUUUGGCUCUCACGUUAUGAUCCGCUUUGGCUCAGCAUGUGUGGGACAAAGCAUGGCCUCCAGCUCUCCAGACACUCAGGGUUCCACUUGCCUCAGAACCGCUUGUUAGAAAAGCUCUUCCCUUGCCGGAGGUUUGCCCUGCCAUAUUGCCUGAAGAUCAGUUGUCAAAUUUGGACAGGAGCAUAACAGAACUGUCCUCUGAGAGACUCCACCAAGCAGUUGAUCAAAACAGAUGCAGAGACCCACAGUCAAAUUUUAGAUGGAGCUCAGGGAGUCUUGUAGAAGAGUUGGGGUGAAGGAUUGAGGGACCUGGAGUGGAUAGGAACUGCCCAGGAAGACAACAGAGUCAACUAACCUUUGGGAGCUCCCAGAGAAUGAACCACCAACCAAAGAGCAUACAUGGGCUGGACCUAGGGUCCCUGCACAUAUGUAGUGGAUGUGCAGAUUGGUCUCCAUGCAGGCCCCAUCCCUGACUCCGUUGCCUGCCUGUGGAUCCUGUUCCUUUAACUGGGCUGCUUUGUCUGGCCUAGGCCCAAGUCCUUGCAGUAACUUGACGUACUAGGGUGGUUGGUACCCACGGGGGCCUCCUCCUUCUCACAGGAGAAGUGGAAGGGAGUGUGGGGGACGGGGGGAGGAG